rnacentral:pre_miRNA from 2 species
AACCCGUAGAUCCGAACUUGUGGUAUUAGUCCGCACAAGCUUGUAUCUAUAGGUAUG